UCCGAAAGUCUGAUCUGCAGACCAUCCAAACGAGAACCAAUUGAGAGCCUUUUUAAUUAGCUGUAAACCAGCAAUAUACUCCAAAUAGUUAAGUUCUUUGCCAUCCUCAAAGUGUUCUGUCAAGAGCCACCUGCUUUUGUAGACUGCAAAAUGUCCUGUGAAUGAUAAUGCUUUGUGACUGGAGCAUGCUUUGUAAACCAUAAAGAACCUUACAACCUCCCAAGUGUUUUUGCAAAUUCCAAAAUAUUUCAUAAGCACAAGAGUACCUCCUAAACCAGAGGGUGCUUCAUUGAAUGAAAAGCAUUUUGCAAACUGUGAAGUACCUUGUCAACUUCAAAGAGCUCUGUCAGCAGCAAAGCUUCAUUAUAAGUUACAGAUCCCUACGGGAUGGAUUUUUUUCACACUGAUCAGGACAGAAGUUGUCUGUCUUCAUCCAUCACCCAGCCCCUUCCAGCAUGGCCUCAGAGACCCACAGCUAUCUGGCCUCCACCAACCAUAAGCCCAGCUAACCUAAGACAUCUGGGUUCUUAAGAAGGAGAAGAAGCACGUAGGAGAGUGGUUCUGGAGGUCUCCAUGCCAGUGAAGAACAGCGAGAGCAAGCUGUAUAUCCAGAGGUAAUAUUGAAGAUAUUUAACAACUUGUAUGAGUCUUACCAGACCAAUCAGAACAGACAUCAGCCUCCAACCAAUGAGAACAGACAUGGGCUGUGACUAGUCAUAACAGACAUGGGGCUCUGACCAAUCAGGACAGAUAUGGGUCUCUGAGGAAUCAGAACGGGAGGGGACUCCUCAGGCAAGGGAAACUAAAGAAAAAAUAAACAAAAGGGACUAUGUCAGACUAAAAAGCUUCUGCAAGGCAAAGGAAACCAUCAACAAAAUGAAAAGACAACCCACCACAGGGAGAAAAUAUUUGCAAACUGUAUAUCUGACAAGGGGUUAAUUUCCAAAAUAUAUAAAAACUCAUACAACUCAACAACAAAAAAAGCCAACAACCUGAUGAAAAAAUGGGCAGAGGAUAUGAACAGACAUUUUUCCAAAGAAGAUAUACAGAUGGCCAACAGGCAAAAGAUAUUCAACAUCACGAAUUAUUUGGGAAAUGUAAAUCAAAACCACAAUGAGAUAUCAUAUCACACCCAUCACAAUGAAAAUUAUUAAGAAGACAAGAAAUAACAUGUAUUGAAGAGGAUGUGGAGAAAACGGAACCCUCAAAUACUUCUGUUGGGAAUACAAACUGGUGUGGCCACUGUGGAAAACAGUAUGGAGAUUUCUCAAAAAAUUAAAAAUUAAAAAUAGAGAUACCAUGUGAUCCACCUAUUCUGCUUUUGGGUCUUUAUACAAAGAACAUGAGAACACCAAUUCAAAAAUGUUCAUAGGAGCAUUAUUCACAAUAGCCAAGAUUGGAAACAAAAUAUGUGUCCAUCAAUGGAUGAAUGGAUAAAGAUGUGUUAUAUAGAGAGAAUGGAAUACUACUCAGCCAUUUAAAAAGACAAAAUCAUGCCAUUUGUGACAAUUAUGGACAGACCUUGAGGGUAUUAUGCUAAGCGAAAUAACACAGACCAAGAAAGACAAAUACCAUGUGAUUUCACUUGUUUGUGGAAGAUAAACAAACACAUAGAUACAGAGAACAGAUUGAUG
ensembl:lncRNA